rnacentral:rRNA from 1 species
GAUGAACGCUGGCGGCGUGACUAACACAUGCAAGUCGAGCGAAUGAAGUUUGUUCGGGAACGGAUUUAGCGGCGGACGGGUGAGUAACACGUGGGCAACCUGCCCCACAGAGGGGACUAGCCUUCCGAAAGGGAGAUUAAUACCGCAUAAGAUUGUAGCACCGCAUGGUACAGCAAUUACAGGAGCAAUCCGCUAUGAGAUGGCCACGCGGGGCAUUAGCUAGUUGGUGAGGUAACGGCUCACCAAGGCGACGAUGCGUAGCCGAACUGAGAGGGUGAUCGGACACAUUGGGACUGAGACACGGCCCAGACUCCUACGGGAGGCAGCAGUGGGGAAUAUUGCACAAUGGGGGAAACCCUGAUGCAGCAACGCCGCGUGAGUGAUGACGGCCUUCGGGUUGUAAAGCUCUGUCUUCAGGGACGAUAAUGACGGUACCUGAGGAGGAAGCCACGGCUAACUUCGUGCCAGCAGCCGCAGUAAGAC